rnacentral:rRNA from 1 species
GUUGACCUCGGAUCAGGUAGAAUCAG